rnacentral:rRNA from 1 species
GACGAACGCUGGCGGCGUGCUUAACACAUGCAAGUCGAACGGAAAGGCCCUGCUUUUGUGGGGUGCUCGAGUGGCGAACGGGUGAGUAACACGUGAGUAACCUGCCCUUGACUUUGGGAUAACUUCAGGAAACUGGGGCUAAUACCGGAUAGGAGCUCCUGCUGCUUGGUGGGGGUUGGAAAGUUUCGGCGGUUGGGGAUGGACUCGCGGCUUAUCAGCUUGUUGGUGGGGUAGUGGCUUACCAAGGCUUUGACGGGUAGCCGGCCUGAGAGGGUGACCGGCCACAUUGGGACUGAGAUACGGCCCAGACUCCUACGGGAGGCAGCAGUGGGGAAUAUUGCACAAUGGGCGGAAGCCUGAUGCAGCAACGCCGCGUGCGGGAUGACGGCCUUCGGGUUGUAAACCGCUUUCGCCCGUGACGAAGCGUGAGUGACGGUAAUGGGUAAAGAAGCACCGGCUAACUACGUG